rnacentral:lncRNA from 1 species
GCCUACUCUAGGGGUAGGUGAAGGAGAGCUGUUUCAGUAUUUCCAGCCAGACCAGCCAUGCAGCCCACCUUGAGCAGCUUGUGCGGUGGAAGAAGUGAGAAUAGUCCCCCGUUCUCUCACACAGAAACUCCCCUGGUCUCUCUAUCAGCAACAGAAAACCAAGCCAGAUGGACUUUGCAACUAAUCAAGUUUGGGAUUUACUGUCUUCUGACCAACCACAGUGACUGAGAUGGGGCUGGGACCAGAAGCCCAGUGGGAGUGAACAGCCGAGGGAACCAGAGUCUGGCUGAGCUUGUGGCCAGAUAUUUAAACUGGGUCCAGCCACACCUGCAAAACCAGGGCAAGGCAGUACCGGGAAACUGGCUGGAGUUGCUGCGGUUUGGGGAAGUUGCACACCCUUUCAUAGAUACCUCCCUUAACCCUCAGUGCAGAUUCUGAGAAAACUCCAAGGCUUCUCUGCCUAACCUAGUAUAACCCCUGUUCCCUACUACAUACAUAUAACUUUUCCAUUCCCCCAGUAAUUGACCCAAAGUCCCUGCCUCUAGCUGUGCCCAUUGUGCAAUGAUCAGAAUCCCUUGUUUCAAUAGUAUUUUGACUUCUUUAAGAAUACUCUGUAUUUGGAAGCUGAAACCUCACUUGGAUCCAUUGUUGGGAACCAAGUACGGAGCCUUACAUAGCCCGGAGGAGUUUCAGGAGCAAUGCCACUUUCCCUUCCAUCCCUCCCUCUGGGUCUGGCUCUUCCCAUAGUCCAUUUUCCCCUUUUAUCUCCCAUUAAUUUCUGUCUUCCUCUCUCACCUUUUCCAUGUCUCUAGCAUCCUCCAGGAUUUAAAAUCAUCUUUACCC